GAUGAACGCUGGCGGCGUGCCUAAUACAUGCAAGUCGAGCGAACGGACGAGAAGCUUGCUUCUCUGAUGUUAGCGGCGGACGGGUGAGUAACACGUGGAUAACCUACCUAUAAGACUGGGAUAACUUCGGGAAACCGGAUCUAAUACCGGAUAAUAUUUUGAACCGCAUGGUUCAACAGUGAAAGACGGUCUUGCUGUCACUUAUAGAUGGAUCCGCGCUGCAUUAGCUAGUUGGUAAGGUAACGGCUUUCCAAGGCAACGAUGCAUAGCCGACCUGAGAGGGUGAUCGGCCACACUGGAACUGAGACACGGUCCAGACUCCUACGGGAGGCAGCAGUAGGGAAUCUUCCGCAAUGGGCGAAAGCCUGACGGAGCAACGCCGCGUGAGUGAUGAAGGUCUUCGGAUCGUAAAACUCUGUUAUUAGGGAAGAACAUAUGUGUAAGUAACUGUGCACAUCUUGACGGUACCUAAUCAGAAAGCCACGGCUAACUACGUG
rnacentral:rRNA from 1 species